AGGAACACCGAUGGCGAAGGCAGCCUCCUGGGAUAACACUGACGCUCAUGCACGAAAGCGUGGGGAGCAAACAGGAUUAGAUACCCUGGUAGUCCACGCCCUAAACGAUGUCAACUAGCUGUUGGGGCCUUCGGGCCUUGGUAGCGCAGCUAACGCGUGAAGUUGACCGCCUGGGGAGUACGGUCGCAAGAUUAAAACUCAAAGGAAUUGACGGGGACCCGCACAAGCGGUGGAUGAUGUGGAUUAAUUCGAUGCAACGCGA
rnacentral:rRNA from 1 species